UACGUAGGGGCCUAGCGUUGUCCGGAUUUAUUGGGCGUAAAGAACUCGUAGGCGGUUCGGUAAGUCAGGUGUGAAAUCUCCACGCUCAACGUGGAGGCGCCACCUGAAACUGCCGUGACUCGAGUCCGGUAGGGGAGUGUGGAAUUCCCGGUGUAGCGGUGAAAUGCGCAGAUAUCGGGAGGAACACCGGUGGCGAAGGCGGCCAACUGGACGAAUACUGACGCUGAGACACGAAAGCGUGGGGAGCAAACAGG
rnacentral:rRNA from 1 species